UACCAUCAAUUCUGGUUUUUAAAUUCCAUCCUCUUUCCAUUGUAUCAUCAAGGGGUAAUUUAGAGCAAGAACUGGGCAAACAGGAGGAGUUGAGAAAUGUAGCAAUGGCCAAAUGCCAUUCAGGGGAUAUUUUUAGUUACCUAAAUAAACUGUAUUUCCACAAUGUCUGCAGAACUUAUGGUUUGUGUGCAGUAAAUAAAAUGAUGGAAAUGCCAUGAAGGAGCCCAGCCAGAUGACUUCAUUUGUGUGCAUUCUGUUCCGCAGGAGUCCCUUAAACAGCAGACGGGCUCCAUGUGACUCAGUGAAGGCACACAAGCUGCUGUCCAACACCAUUGCUUCUCUCUUGUGUUUAUUGUAUGCCAGUCUCACCACACUGUGCUCGGAGCAGUUUCCCAGGGAGUGUUCUGUGGGGUGCUCAUCAGAAGAAGAAACAGAGUUUUGUGAUCAAGAUGGAAAAGGAAGAAUUUUCUGGGAGGUGCGAAGGCUGCCCUGAAGACUACCUAUACCUUGGUUGGAUCAUCAGAGAAUAGGAGAAGGUAGAGACAUCCGCGUAGCAGUUUGAAGAGGGGAAUAUCUUGAUCCUGGGUGCUGUGGAUCCUUGGGAUCAGGAAGAGCAACCAAGAUUUCAAGUCUCACAACUGGAAGAGAGUGGAGCUCCAAGGACUGUCACACUUUAGAUGUGGUGUAGGACACAGAGGAUGCCCUGUGGAUGGUCAUGAGGAUCCUGGUUAGCAGCUUGCCCAGACCGUUUGUGCUCAACCAGUAAUGGCAGACCAGUUUUCGCCAGAGGCCUCAAGGCACAGGAAGGUGAGAUAGCUCAGUGCUGCUUCAGCGGUGGGAGUCUCAGAAGGGGCACCAAGAGUCUGACGCUUUACUUUCUGCCAAUGUCAAUUCAGGCUCUUGGGACCCUGCCACUGCUGCCAUGUGAAGAAGGCCCAGUGGCCUAGCGGCUCCUGUUGUCCCAGCUGACAGCCAAUGUGUGGAAGCAGAGAUGCCUUGCAGACCAGCAGCUAACUGACGUGACUCAGCUAAGCACAGCAGAAGACCAGCAAAAGAAAGCCCAGCUCAGAUGCCAGUGCACAGAACUAUUGUGGGGAAUAAGGAUCUUGAAGAAGUUGCUGUUCCUGAUCUCGCAAUACUGAGAACCCAAUCAUUGAGAAGCCUUUCUUUCCCAAAGUUUGAAUUAACAGCAGUCGACCCACCAAAAAAAGUUUGCUCUACAUCAGAAGAAGCAUUCACAAGUUGAAAUGGAAAAUACAAAUCUUGACGGGCCUUUCAAACGUAAGAGCAAUCCAUUU